GCUUUCGUAGCGUAAUGGGUAAGCGCAACGGAUUGGAUAUCUGUAGGUGAGGUUUCGAGUGCCGACUGAGGCU
rnacentral:tRNA from 1 species